CCACACACACACACACAACCAGACCACAACAAACACCACACACACACAACCAGACCACAACAAACACCACACACACACAACCAGACCACAACAAACAAGGGACUGAGAACAAGCACCAACCACCUGUAUGCACCAGAGGAGUCAAGUUGACUCCAUCAAGCGAACAACAACAUCUGCCGCUACAUUUAGCCAUGGAGAAGUUCUAUAUAUGUUCUCCUUCGUUUCCUUUCAGCCUUUAGCAUUCCGUUUGAUGUUUUUAUUAAAAUUUUUAACCCAAAUUUAAAAAUAAUAUUGAUAUAAUUGCUAUUAUUUUCGGGUUAUUUCGUCAAUUAAGAUAUCAGUAAAUGGCUGCCAGAAUUAACUUAUCUUAGAUAUAUACUAAGGGAAACUAAUUCGCUAGAGAUUUGACAACUGCACAACUGACACACCAGCUGUAGGAAGUAUGAUUGGGACAACUAAUUUGGUUUAAUACAGUAACUCGCACUACUAAAGGAACCCAACUCACACAUCUCUCACCCAACCCAUCCAUCUGUAAAUGAAUGAGGUGGAGACGUUUGGGUUCGUUCUGGACUCUUACGAAAUGGUGGGAACAGUCAAUAUGUAAGGCAAGAAUGUGAGGUGAAAGGGAAGAGGAAGGAACUGUACUGUAGACGUUAACAGGAAUAAAGCUACAAAAAGCCGUAAUUAAGAGAAAAAGGCGAAUGACGUUGUGUUAAAGUUUCUACAAGGUUGUGAGCACGUUGUAAUAACGUUUCUACAAGGUUUUGAGCACGUUGUGAGAACGUUGCUACAAUGUUGUGAGCACGUUGGUAAAAUGUUGCCACAAGGUUGUAAGCACGUUGGUAAAGCGUUGCGACAAGGUAGUGCUAACGUUGCUACAAGGUUUUGAGCACAUUAUGAUAACGUUGCUACAAGGUUGUGAGCACGUUGUGAUAACGUUGCUACAAGGUUGUGAGCACGUUGUGAGAACGUUGCUACUAGGUUGUGAGCACGUUGUGAUAACGUUGCUACAAGGUUGUGAGCACGUUGUGAGAACGUUGCUACUAGGUUGUGAGCACGUUGUGAUAACGUUGCUACAAGGUUGUGAGAACGUUGCUACUAGGUUGUGAGCACGUUGUGAGAACGUUGCUACUAGGUUGUGAGAACGUUGCUACUAGGUUGUGAGCACGUUGUGAGAACGUUGCUACUAGGUUGUGAGCACGUUGUGAGAACUUUGCUACUAGGUUGUGAGCACGUUUUUAUAACUUUGCUAUAACGUUGUGAGCAUGUUGUGAUAACGUAGCAACAACGGUGUGAGCACAUUAUCAAAACAAGCCAACAACGUUGCAGCAACAUUAUCACUACGUAUUCACAACCUUAUACCAACGUUAUCCCAAUGUGUAACAACGUUUUCACAACGGGGCCACCAAGUUGUUGCAACGUUUGGCCAGCAUGAUCACAGUGUUGUACAAAUAUUGUGCUAACGUUGUUAUAAGUCUGUGGGUGCGUUACCACAUUCCCACAGCGUUGUUGAAACAUUAUCAAAAGGUUAUCUUCUUGAGAUGAGGUUAUCUUGAGAUGAUUUCGGGGCUUACUUUCCCCGCGGCCCGGUCAUCGACCAGGCCUCCACCCCCCAGGAAGCAGCCCGUAGCAGCUGCCUAACUCCCAGGUACCUAUUUACUGCUAGGUAACAGGGGCAUGAGGGUGAAAGAAACAUUUUGCCAAGUUUUUUACAAAGGUACCCACAACUUUGUAGCAACUGUUGCUAAAACGUACCCACAACUGUUGCUACAACGUACCCACAACUGUUGCUACAACGUACCCACAACUGUUGCUACAACGUACCCACAACUGUUGCUACAACGUACCCACAACUGUUGCUACAACGUACCCACAACUGUUGCUACAACGUACCCACAACUGUUGCUACAACAUUGCGGACACGUUGUGAGAAUGUUACAAUAUUGUGGACUUACAAGGGGACCAGUCACAAUAUGGACACAAAAAGCACUGUGCAUUUUACUAUAUCCUUCCUUUCCAAAAAUACCAGCAUAGAUCCACUGGGCAAAGAUUCAUCAACCACUUACGAAACCAGUACAUCUUUCCUCAUUCACGGCACCUUUAUUUGCAUUUAUUAAGCAGUUCAUGACCCUCAGAACCUUACAAUGCAAGUUUAUUAUUGUAUAAAUAAUUUCAAAACAGCUCAUAAACUGUAAAACAUAUAAACAAAGCCAACAUUAUUAAGAAAUGAUAUACAGGCUUCGUAAGUAGUUGGGUAAAUACUUUACAAAUGCGAGCCCUAAACGGAGCAAAGAUUAAUCUCCUCCUCCUGCUAUUACGGCGAUCGGUGAUAUAUUUAUAUCGUGAUUAUCACCCUUACCGACCGAGCAGAUAACAAUGCCUGGGUAAGAUAACGAUAUACUAUAAAGAAGCCGGUUUUCUCCAUUUGCAAAUCCUGAAAAAAUAUGCAGCCGUUUAGCCUAACCAGAAACGUAUUAAUCGAAGCAACCCUCCUAACCUAUCUAUGCCGAUGUAUAGAAAACGUUCAUAUUACGGUGUUUUGAUUCAUAGUAACACUUCGCAUUUGUAACGUAUUGAUCUACUUGGUUAAAAAUGUGACAUUGUUAUUGAUCGAGUGAGAAAUUAGUCUGUUAUUUCCCAUAUUAUUGGUAACCUAUGGACAUAUAUAUGGCCUGUACCUCGGCUGCCACUAACAGCUCUCUUGCUCAGGAUACGUUGAGCAUGCUAACUCUGUGAUUUAGAGCCAUCACCGGGCAAAUAUAUCUCAGGCUGGGUACCGGUGCCCACCGGCCAGGUACCGGCGCCCACCGGCCAGGUACCGGUACCCACCGACCAGGUACCAGUACCCACCGGCCAGGUAUCGGUACCCACCGACCAGGUACCAGUACCCACCGGCCAGGUACCGGUACCCACCGACCAGGUACCGGUACCCACCGACCAGGUACCAGUGCCCACUGGCCAGGUACCAGUACCCACCGACCAGGUACCAGUACCCACCGGCCAGGUACCAGUACCCACCGGCCAGGUACCAGUACCCAUCUUGCUACCAAAACAUUAACAACCACCAUCUGGCAACCUUCUCUAACUUUCCAUUGAUACUUCUGUUGUUUGGUUUCCGCCUUGCUUUUUUUUCUUGGUUUUUGUUUGCUUUAGUUUUUGUUAUCUCCCAUGUGCUGCACCGCUCUGUUUGCUUGUUGUUUUGAUUGUACUCUAGACGUGGACAUGGAGGGUAAAGCUUUGCGAGGUAGCUCUCAUAAACAUCAAAGCAUUUCUUGUUCUUAUUGAUCACGUGUGUUACUGUCACUCAGUAGUAACACCUGUCCAGUGUACGUGACACGUCAAGGAGCAGGAGAGAUCAUGGACGAACAUGUCUCUAGAAAAUAAUACAAAAAUAAUUAGGAAAAUUGGCAUUUUGCAAAUUAUUGAUAGCUUAAUACUGCAAUGUGUUCUUCAGAAGCUCUCGCGAGGAUUCCCUAGGGGCUUACGUCUCAGUAAGCCAACAUGAGCUCAUCACAUGCCAACAUAUAAUGGCAGAAACGCUUGUUUACCAACACGUCGUCAAGAUGCAGCAUCCAAGUCACCUGCCCUGAUCUCUCCUUGCACUUAGCAUCAUGUCUGGGUACAAAAGUGAGAUUCUCUCUUCGUUUAGAAUAUCAUUGGGAAACAAAACGUGUAUGUGGAAACAAAAAAGUUUAAUUUGUACAUAGGAUAUUUCACAUAGUUAGGAACUUAACCCAACUCACUUUAAACUUAUCAAGCCGUCUAUAAUGUGUGUCACGAUGCCAACCACUGGUUAAGAUUCAUUGUUUAUAUUAGGAAGGUAUAGGCUCAUAAGGUUGAAUCGCUCGCACCUCGAGCGAUACACAUAUCUGUAUGAUUAUUUAAUAUUGUAAAUAAACAUAUGUUCGUAA